rnacentral:rRNA from 1 species
UACGGAGGGUGCAAGCGUUGCUCGGAAUUAUUGGGCGUAAAGGGUAGGUAGGUGGUCUCGUUUGUCAGGGGUGAAAGCCUUGGGCUUAACUCAAGAAGUGCCCCUGAAACGGCGAGACUCGAGUGCUGGAGAGGGUCGUGGAAUUCCCGGUGUAGCGGUGAAAUGCGUAGAGAUCGGGAGGAACACCAGAGGCGAAGGCGGCGACCUGGACAGUAACUGACACUCAACUACGAAAGCGUGGGGAGCAAACAGG